AGUGGCUAAAAGAGAGAGAGACCAGUUUCUAUGAUGCUUCUAUGUCUCCUUUCAACACUUCCUUGUUGAUGGUGGGCAUACGGACAGGAUAGGCUUUGUUUAAUUCCAUGUUUUUGUAAAACACUACAAAAAAAGAGGUUAAAAUGGCAUUUAUAUUACGGCAAUUUUGAAGAACCGUCAUAAUAUUUGGAUAUUCUGGCGUUUCUUUUUGCUGCCAUAAUUGAUUUUUUAGAUUUGUGGCGGUUUUGGUAAUUAUGGCGGUUUUGAACCGCCGGUAUCACCUAGGUAUAAAAGAAGAAUGAUCAAUCCCUAAAUUUUGGAAACCCUUAGUUGAAACCAUACGCGUGUGACGCUGUUGCUUCUGGAUGGCCUGUGCGACAAUCUCUGAUCCUCUUGCGUUCUCCGACGAACUUCUCCGGUGACAUCUCCUCCGGCGUCGACCUCCUUCGGCGACAUCUCCUAUAGUGGCGCUCUCCUCUGGUGACGUCUCCUCCAGCUUCCUCUCCUUGUCGUCUUCUGUAUCUUCUCUGCCAAAAUCAUCAAUGCCUUCCUCUGUGAUGAUCCAGAUAUGAAGGUGGCCACCAUGCUUGUGGAUUCUGCUGGAUUGUCAAGUUUACUACCUCUAUCUUGAAAAUUAUGGUACUUCAAUGGGGCUAAUUUGAAAGCUCUUAUUGAACCUGGGGUUAAGCAUGCGUUAAUUGUUGGGAUUGCAAUACAAGUGCUUCAAAUGGGGUUCUAUACGACACUUCUCAAAUUCGUGGAUUAGAUCGAGCAUGCAUCACUGAUGCUAUCACCUGGAUUUUUUUUUAAAUUUUUGUUUGUAUUUAUUUUCUUUCUUUUUUAUAAGAUAAUACUAUGUUUGAUUCUUUCUCUUUCUUUUUAUAUAUAUAUAGGAGAAGAUUGAAGCACAUAGUAGGCAACAAGCGGCGGAAUCAACUAUUAGUUCUCCUCUUGAUGCUCUUGAAGUAGUUCUUGGGAAAGAGCAUCCUGGUCGUCUUCGAGGUUUAGGCAUGGAGCUGUUCUAACAGUUGCUUUCAAGAGCAACACUACAAGGAUUAGUCAGAUGAAUUUAGGUUCUUCAAAUGAUACUAGCACAUCAUUUACUUGUGGUCCAAAUGUGUAAGAAGAGUUGGAUACCAUUAAAGUGCAAUUGCAAGCGCUAGUCUUCUAUAUUGCUUCUAAAAAAAGAGGGAUUGGAUCAAGAGAGUGAAAUUUUAUCACCAAAAGAGCUAGAAAGUAUGUUUUCCGGAGCGAACAACAAGAAAGCAUGAUCUUGCAUGAUAAAGAUUUUAUGUAUUGAGGAUUAUAUAUAUAUAUAUAUAUAAAAGACGAAUUAUUGAAAAAUGUUAUCUUUGAUACUUUGUUUUUGGAUUAUGACUUUUGAUUUUCGGAGACCAUGUAUGAAUUAAAAAUCUUGUUAUAAUAUUUGAUUUAA